rnacentral:rRNA from 1 species
CUACACGGGUAUCUAAUCCUGUUUGCUCCCCACGCUUUCGCGCCUCAGCGUCAGAUACGGUCCAGAUGGCCGCCUUCGCCACCGGUGUUCUUCCCAAUAUCUACGAAUUUCACCUCUACACUGGGAAUUCCACCAUCCUCUCCCGUCCUCAAGCCGCUCAGUCUCGAGUGCACAUCCGGGGUUGAGCCCCGGGCUUUCACACCCGACUUGAACAGCCGCCUACGCGCCCUUUACGCCCAGUAACUCCGAACAACGCUAGCCCCCUUCGUAUUACCGCGGCUGCUGGCAC